rnacentral:rRNA from 1 species
GACUCCUACGGGAGGCAGCAGUGGGGAAAUUGGACAAUGGGCGAAAGCCUGAUCAGCGAUGCCGCGUGAGUGAAGAAGGCCUUAGGGUCGUAAAACUCUUUCGCCAGAGAUGAUAAUGACAGUAUCUGGAAAAGAAGCCCCGGCUAACUCCGUGCCAGCAGCCGCGGUAAUACUGAGGGAGCGAGCGUUAAUCGGAAUUACUGGGCGUAAAGCGCGCGUAAGCGGCUUUGUAAGUCGGAUGUGAAAGCCCUGGGCUCAACCUGGGAAUGGCAUUCGAAACUGCAUGGCUAGAGUAUGGUAGAGGGAAGUGGAAUUUCCGGUGUAGCGGUGAAAUGCGUGAUAUCGGAAGGAACACCAGUGGCGAAGGCGACUUCCUGGGCCAAUACUGACGCUGAGGCGCGAAAGCGUGGGUAGCAAACAGGAUUAAAUACCCUGGUAGUCCACGCCGUAAACGAUGAUAACUAUAUGUCGGGGGAAUUUGUCCUUCAGUGUCGCAGCUAACGCGUUAAGUUCUCCGCCUGGAGAGUACUCCGGCAACGGUAAGACUCAAAGGAAUUGACGGGGGCCCGCACAAGAGAU